GCAUCCUUGUCUUGUUCCUGUUCUUGAGGGCAAUGUCUUUAGCUUUUGCCUGUUCAGUAUUUGUUAGCUCUGGGUUUGUCAUAAAUGGCUCUUAUUAUUUUGAGGUAUGUUCCUUUGAUGCCUAGUUUGUUGAGGGUUUUUAUCAUGAAGGGAUGUUGGAUUUUAUCAAAAGCUUUUCCCAUACCUAUUGAGAUAUUCAUCUAGUUUUUGUUUUUAAAUCUGUUUAUGUGGUGAGUCACAUUUAUUGAUUUGCAUAUGUUGAACCAACCUUGGAUCUUAGGAAUUAAGCCUAUUUGAUCGGGGUGAAUUAACUUUUUGAUGUGCGGCUAGAUUCAGUUUGCUGGUAUUUUGUUGAGGAUUUUUGUGCCUGUGUUUAUCUGAACUGAAUUCUUGAUAACAUCUUGAGGACAAAAUUAAAGAUGAUAUACCCUACAAGUAAGAGUGAACUAUAGGUUAGAUGGCCCGUACGUGGACAGCAAUCCUGCUUCCAUUCAUCUGAGUAACCCAGAAAGAAGUCUCAAACCCUAAAAUUGUAUUAAGGUAGUUCCCUGCAUUUGAGAAACAAAAUUCACUCCAGAGGAAGAUGACAUCAUCUUGGGCCAUGAAUUAUUUCUACAAAUAUAAGAUCUGUAAAUGUAAGCAAAUAUUUGAAUGCACGGUAGCAUGGUGGAAUCAGAGCAAGAAUGUGAACUGAAAUUUUUGCCAUCUGUUUCUGAUUUUCCCCUCUAGAUUCACUCUCCAUUUAUAUCCCCCAGAGUCUCUGUCUUGGGAGGCUAUGAAUUAAGUCAAUGGGCUCCCUUCCUUUCUGUUUAUCAGUUGGAUUUGGUCAGUGGGGAGUCCAGGCAGGGAUCUGCAGGAGGAAGGACAUUGGGAGCUGGGUAUUUCUCUCCUGGACUCACUCUGUAUGAGUCACUACAGGCUGGCUGUGUUCUUCAACAGAAGGUUAUUGCUCUUCCCAAGGUGACAGCUCCUAUGGGACUCACUUUCUAACAGGGUCUCAUAACUGUCCCUUGCUUUGUUGUUUAUUGGCACCUAGAAAUGAUAAAGUUGCUGGCCCCAAGCUCAUGAAGAAUUCCUUGAAGCCUCCUUAUACCCUUCCACAGCUUUGUAAUUAGUCUUUUU
rnacentral:lncRNA from 1 species